CCAAACCUAUCAACUUCAACACCAUGUUCACUCUUCCUGAUUCAUCGAUGGAGGCUUGUCGCUUUCCCUAUCGUGGUCCUGCAAUUGUUGAUGCCAAUGAAGGGAGCUGGUCCCAUUCCUUUACAUGUUCCAUUGGCCAUUAAAAUCAAGAGUAACACUCCAAUAUGUUUGGAGCCCUUCUCUUCAAUCUGCAAUUUCGAAAAUUAGUGAGAGAAAGAGAAAUUUAGCAUAGUGAGGGUUGUCGUAUGCGGUUGUGCGAGCUCCGGUGGUCUCUUGAGCACCCGAUGAUGUUCGUGGUCUCUUCCGAUAAGUGUAGACGGUGUCCUUCGGUAGUAGAAUGGAGAGAAUUAUGAAGUCUUUAAAGGUUAUUCCCCUGUCAUCGUCCAAACCAGAUAACCGAUCGAUGGUAGCAGGAACAUCAAGAGUGUUUGAGUGAGGUGAGCUCGAUUUUCAAAGAUGCCGAAGACAUCAGGCUCAUAGUGGCAUAUUCUCUUGAGCCACAUGUGAGAACUGAACCAGACUAAGGACGAGAGUGAAAAGUAAUUGCUCUUGUUUUCUUCUUUCCGCAGCUUAAUCUCAGGUGCAAGUGAGUUUAGAUCCUGUCGAAUCAUCCUUUCAAUUGUGCUUUGUCUCCAUCUCCAUGGCUACACCCAAGAAGCGUUCCAGACGGAGGGAAUGAGGAUUUGCGGAUGACCAGGUCAAUUGAAGAAAUGGAGACAUUGGGGAUGAGGUGAGUUUCAAGCAUUGAUGAAGGAAACUUCUUGAAUUCCAUUGGAGCGUAGGAGGAGUUUAGUGCCGCAUUGCUAGGUCCGACAUGGGAGCCAUUAGCCAGAAGCUUGUGGUUCGAUGUCCUCAAAAUGGAAUGCGUCGUCGGAGGUUGAUUGCACUGACCCUCUGAGGACGCAAUUGGUGAGCGAGUUCAAGCAGGGAUGGAGUACUGGGACCUAAUCCUAAUCCACCGCAUCUUUUAAGGUAUUCGGAUUUAAUUCAUUUGGGCUAAUAUCAUAUAGGUUCAAUUAGUUUAUUUUGGGCUAGUAUCAUAUGGAUUCAAUUAGUUUAUUUUUAGGCUAAGUGACAUUAGGUUUAAGUUCAAGAUAAAUAUAAUAUAAUGUAAAGCCUUAUUAUUUAUAAUUAAAAUAAAAAUGGAUUUUCGUUAUCUAAUUUAGUAGAUGGCAAAUAAUUAUGAAUAUGGUUUGGGUAAAUUAAUUACAAGGUAAUUAAUUUAAUAAGAAUUAACCACAUUGAUAAAGCUGUAUGGAUUUUCUUAGGUCUAGGAUUUUAAUAUAGUAUGGUUAAAAUAUUAACGACUUUUAUGUAUAGUAUUUUAACGAGAAGGGCUCUAGGAGUUAACAUUUCCCCACAUAAUAAUGCAAGUAAAUAAAAAGUAUAUUAUGAAAUAUUAAUGAGUAAUAUUUGAAGUAUGAACUAUGUAAGGAGUAUUAAUAUCAUUAUAGGUGACCAGAGAGCAGAGAAUCAGUCUCAGCCGUUUUGGUAGUAUAUUUUGUGUUUUGCUGCUUCAGGUGAGUUUCCUCAUUGUUUGUAUGGGUCUAAGGCACCAAUCCCAACCCAUUUAGUUUAUGUAUGGUAGGAAAACCAGGUGGUUAUCCCUAGGCAUUAUAUGUUAUCCCUAGGCAUUAUAUAUGAAAGACUAGGAGGUGGCUCUUGGCACACUGUAUGCUAUUAUGUAUGAAAGACCAGGAAGCUGCUCCUAGCACACUCUAUGUUAUUAUGUAUGGUAGGAAGACCCGGGGGUUAGCCCAAGAAAUUAUGUAUGAAGGACCAGGUAGUGGCUUCUGACACACUGUAUUCUAUUAUGUAUGAAAGUCCAGGAGGUGGCUCCUGGCACACUGUAUGCUAAUUGGCUAAUUAGAGUAGUAUGUAUGCUAGUUGUGUUGGUGAUGCUUGCAUGGAAGACUAGGAGGUGGCCCUUGGCACUUGUCUGUGAGACCAAGGGGGUGGCCCCUGGCUUGGCAAAAAAGACCACGUGGUGGCUCGUGGCAUAAUGGCAAGACUAUGUUUGGCACAUAGAAUCUUUACUGAUUAUGAUAUAUGUAUGGCUCAUGGUUAUGUAUGACAGUAUGCGAGUAUGUGUUUAUAUGCAAGACAGUAUCCGGUUGAAAGAGACCGAAGGGGUAGGCUAGCACCCAGAUAUGCUAGACAACAUGUUGAUAUGUAUGCUAUGUGGUAUUUGGGGAACUCACUAAGCUUCGUGCUUACGGUUUUCAGUUUUGGUUUCAGGUACUUCGUUUUCAAAGGAAAGGAAUCGGCUUGAUCGCAUCGCAUCACACUAUAUUUCCGCACAUGAGAUCUUUGGGAUUACACUCUGAUAUUGUUUUAUGAUAACAUAUUUUGAUUAUUUCUACUUUGGUUUUGACAAGACAUGAUGUUAUGGAUGUUUUAUUAUACUGAUGGUUUUAUAAUAACGUAUUUAAAAUGAAAUUUUUGGCCUGUAUUUUUGGGAUGUUACACAUUUGAGUUUGAAGCAUUGUUUGAAGCAGACAUUUGAAAAGAAAGACAAGUUUCAUUAGAUAGAAAUUCCUUAAUAUCACGCCUAAAUGAAAUAUUAAGGCUAGGACCCAACACAAUAUUUCACAAUUCUGAAGAGGGAUGCUGUAAACCAAUUGCAAAAUAUUUGAAGGUAGAUAAAUGACGAUUUACCAAUUUCAC
rnacentral:lncRNA from 1 species